AUUGAACGCUGGCGGCAGGCCUAACACAUGCAAGUCGAGCGGAUGACGGGAGCUUGCUCCUUGAUUCAGCGGCGGACGGGUGAGUAAUGCCUAGGAAUCUGCCUGGUAGUGGGGGACAACGUUUCGAAAGGAACGCUAAUACCGCCUACGUCCUACGGGAGAAAGCAGGGGACCUUCGGGCCUUGCGCUACCAGAUGAGCCGAGGUCGGAUUAGCUUGUUGGUGAGGUAAUGGCCCACCAAGGCGACGAUCCGUAACAGGUCUGAGAGGAUGAUCAGUCACACUGGAACUGAGACACGGUCCAGACUCCUACGGGAGGCAGCAGUGGGGAAUAUUGGACAAUGGGCGAAAGCCUGAUCCAGCCAUGCCGCGUGUGUGAAGAAGGUCUUCGGAUUGUAAAGCACGUUAAGUUGGGAGGAAGGGUUGUAGAUUAAUACUCUGCAAUUUUGACGUUACCGACAGAAUAAGCACCGGCUAACUCUGUGCCAGCCGCCGCCGUAAUAC
rnacentral:rRNA from 1 species